rnacentral:hammerhead_ribozyme from 1 species
AUCCAGAUGACGAGUCCCAAAUAUGACGAAACGCGCGUAGAACCGGAU